rnacentral:rRNA from 1 species
CCUACGGGUGGCAGCAGUGGGGAAUCUUCCUCAAUGGGCGAAAGCCUGACGCAGCAACGCCGCGUGAUGGAAUGCAGCCCUUCGGGUUGUAAAGAUCUGUUGACAGGGACGAAUCAUCAAUGCGUAUAGUCUUGUGUAUGACGGUACCUGUUUAGAAAGCUCCAGCUAACUACGUGCCAGCAGCCGCGGUAGUACGUAGGGAGCAUGCGGUGUCCGGAUUUACUGGGCGUAAAGGGCGCGUAGGUGGGCGUUUAAGUGAGGUGUGAAAAGUCCGGGCUUAAACUGGAGACUGCAUUUGAGACUGGGUAUCUAGAGGGUAGGAGAGGAAAGUGGAAUGCCUAGUGUAGCGGUGAAAUGCGUAGAUAUUAGGCAGAACACCAAUGGCGAAGGCGACUUUCUGGUCUAUACCUGACGCUGAGGCGCGAAAGCGUGGGUAGCGAACGGGAUUAGAUACCCGGGUAGUC